ACCCGCUGAACUUAAGCAUAUCAAUAAGCGGAGGAAAAGAAACCAACAGGGAUUGCCUUAGUAACGGCGAGUGAAGCGGCAAAAGCUCAAAUUUGAAAUCGGCCACCAGGUCGAGUUGUAAUUUGUAGAUUGUAUCUUGAGAGCGGAUUAAAGUCUGUUGGAACACAGCGCCUUAGAGGGUGACAGCCCCGUAAAAUCUAUUCUCAUUGUAAGAUACUUUCGAAGAGUCGAGUUGUUUGGGAAUGCAGCUCUAAGUGGGAGGUAAAUUCCUUCUAAAGCUAAAUAUUGACGAGAGACCGAUAGCGAACAAGUACUGUGAAGGAAAGAUGAAAAGCACUUUGAAAAGAGAGUGAAAAAGUACGUGAAAUUGUUAAAAGGGAAGGGUAUUGAAUCAGACUUGGUGCUGUUGUUCAACUGUGUUUCGGCAUAGUGUACUCAGCAGUACUAGGCCAAGGUGGGGUGUUUGGGAGUGAAAAAGAAGUUGGAACGUAACUCUUCGGAGUGUUAUAGCCUACUUUCAUAGCUCCUCAGGCGCCUCAGGACUGCGCUUCGGCAAGGACCUUGGCAUAAUGAUUCUAUACCGCCCGUCUUGAAACACGGACACAGGAG
rnacentral:rRNA from 1 species